UAAGCCAGAAGGUUCCUCCCGUCCAUAAAAAGAGAAGCCAGACACACGCAUUCAAGGGGGGGCUCAGAAGAGGAGAGAUGAUACCGACCACCGAGUACAGCGCAUCGACACCACUCCACUUAAUUAGUACCACCCCACUGCCAUAGAAAUAAGGGAGCCUGCUGUAAUCCUUCGCUUGUAAGUCUAAUGUAGCCAGGACAAUUAUUGAAGGCACUAGCGUCGUCCAGGCGCUCAGGCGUUUCCUUAAGCCAGAAGGCUCCUCCUGUCUGCUUCCUUAAGCCAGAAGGCUCCUCCCAUCCAUAAAAGGAGAAGCCAGAUGCACGGAUUGAGGAGGUGGGAGUGGGGGGGGGGACUCAGAACAGGAGAGAAGACACCGACCAUCGAAUACAAUAGCGCAUCGACACCACUCCACUUAAUUAGUACCAUCCCACAUCCCACUCCCAUUGUAACAUAGAAAUAAGGGAGCCUACUGUAACCGUCGCUUGUAAGCUAAUCUAACUAGUGUGUGUAAGUGCUUGGGGUUUCCUAAAAGGGAAAACCGUAUGUAAGCUUGAUUGUGGAAAUGUAGCAGUUUUUGCUUUGAAAAUCCCUACUUUGCUGUAGCCCGUUUAUAUGGAUAGAGUUUCUAUUCUAGGGACCC